rnacentral:rRNA from 1 species
UACUGAGUGGCAAACGGGUGAGUAUAAUGUGGGAAUCUGCCUUUUGGUUUGGAAUAACACGGGGAAACUUGUGCUAAUACCGAAUAAGCCCUUACGGGGAAAGUUUUAAUGCCGAAAGAUGAGCCCGCACUUGAUUAGCUAGUUGGUAAGGUAAAAGCUUACCAAGGCAACGAUCAAUAGCUGUUCUUAGAGGAAGACCAGCCACAUUGGGACUGAGACACGGCCCAGACUCCUACGGGAGGCAGCAGUGGGGAAUCUUGCACAAUGGGGGAAACCCUGAUGCAGCGAUGCCGCGUGAGUGAAGAAGGCCUUUGGGUUGUAAAACUCUUUCGUCGGGGAAGAAAAUGACUGUACCCGAAUAAGAAGGUCCGGCUAACUUCGUGCCAGCAGCCGCGGUAAUACGAAGGGACCUAGCGUAGUUCGGAAUUACUGGGCUUAAAGAGCUCGUAGGUGGUUAAAAAAGUUGAUGGUGAAAUCCCAAGGCUCAACCUUG